CCAGAGAACUUAGCAGAGAUGCUUUGGUGCCUUCGGGAACUCUGAGACAGGUGCUGCAUGGCUGUCGUCAGCUCGUGUUGUGAAAUGUUGGGUUAAGUCCCGCAACGAGCGCAACCCUUAUCCUUUGUUGCCAGCGAUUCGGUCGGGAACUCAAAGGAGACUGCCGGUGAUAAACCGGAGGAAGGUGGGGAUGACGUCAAGUCAUCAUGGCCCUUACGGCCAGGGCUACACACGUGCUACAAUGGCGCAUACAAGGAGAAGCGACCUCGCGAGAGCAAGCGGACCUCAUAAAGUGCGUCGUAGUCCGGAUUGGAGUCUGCAACUCGACUCCAUGAAGUCGGAAUCGCUAGUAAUCGUAGAUCAGAAUGCUACGGUGAAUACGUUCCCGGGCCUUGUACACACCGCCCGUCACACCAUGGGAGUGGGUUGCAAAAGAAGUAGGUAGCUUAACCUUCGGGAGGGCGCUUACCACUUUGUGAUUCAUGACUGGGGUGAAGUCGUAACAAGGUAAGCGUAGAUGA
rnacentral:rRNA from 1 species